rnacentral:rRNA from 1 species
GAUGAACGCUAGCGAUAGGCUUAACACAUGCAAGUCGAGGGGCAGCAUGGUCUUAGCUUGCUAAGACUGAUGGCGACCGGCGCACGGGUGCGUAACGCGUAUGCAACUUGCCUCACAGAGGGGGAUAACCCGUCGAAAGACGGACUAAUACCGCGUACACUUGGGAUAGGGCCUCCUGACCCAAGGAAAUGAAAUUCGCUGUGAGAUAGGCAUGCGUCCCAUUAGCUAGUUGGUGAGGUAACGGCUCACCAAGGCGACGAUGGGUAGGGGAACUGAGAGGUUGAACCCCCACACUGGUACUGAGACACGGACCAGACUCCUACGGGAGGCAGCAGUGAGGAAUAUUGGUCAAUGGGCGAGAGCCUGAACCAGCCAAGUCGCGUGAAGGAUGACUGUCUUAUGGAUUGUAAACUUCUUUUAGACGGGAAUAACAAGAGCCACGUGUGGCUCCCUGCAUGUACCGUAUGAAUAAGCAUCGGCUAACUCCGUG